UGACAAGUUCAACGGCAUAGUCAA
rnacentral:misc_RNA from 1 species